rnacentral:lncRNA from 1 species
CUUGCAGUAACUUUUUCUUUUCUAGCAAGCAAUGUUUAAUAACAUUAUAAACCAACAUAUUAUAAGUACAAACACAUUUGUCCAAUACAUUUAAAUGGACCGAAAUAAAACUAGGUAUUAUAAUCAUAUACAUUCUUAUGACACAAUAAACUUCAAACUGUCGUAGUUACUGUGAGCACUUUCGAUGGAAUGACACCCACACAUUUUCUUUAUAUAAUAUAACGGGACCCCACCUUUUAAACC